AUACGUAGGUGGCGAGCGUUGUCCGGAAUUACUGGGCGUAAAGGGUGCGUAGGCGGAUAAUCAAGUCAGAUGUGAAAGUCCAUGGCUUAACUGUGGGAGUGCAUUUGAGACUGAAGAUCUAGAGUGCAGGAGAGGGAAGCGGAAUUCCUAGUGUAGCGGUGAAAUGCGUAGAUAUUAGGAAGAACACCAGUGGAAGGCGGCUUUCUGGACUGUAACUGACGCUGAAGCACGAAAGCGUGGGGAGCAAACAGGAUUAGAUACCCUGGUAGUCCACGCCGUAAACGAUGAGUAUUAGGUGUAGGGGACGAUAGUCUUCUGUGCCGGAGCAAACGCAAUAAAUACUCCGCCUGGGGAGUACGGUCACAAGACUAAA
rnacentral:rRNA from 1 species